rnacentral:rRNA from 1 species
UACGGAGGGUGCAAGCGUGAUCCGGAUUCACUGGGUUUAAAGGGUGCGUAGGCGGGCAGGUAAGUCCGUGGUGAAAUCUCUGAGCUUAACUCAGAAACUGCCAUGGAUACUAUUUGUCUUGAAUAUUGUGGAGGUAAGCGGAAUAUGUCAUGUAGCGGUGAAAUGCUUAGAUAUGACAUAGAACACCAAUUGCGAAGGCAGCUUACUACACAGUUAUUGACGCUGAGGCACGAAAGCGUGGGGAUCAAACAGG